UUUUCAAUGAUUCUGCUUUUAAAGUUUCGACUGGUGCUGAGAUUUUUAAAGCUUCCACUAACCAUUCCAAUUGAACACCAAUGACUAUUUCUUGCUUUAAUCUAAUUUUGUAGGUCAGGAGGUGAGUGAAGAUGGUGGCCCAGCUCUGUCAACCAAGCCAACUUCUUCGUUGUCAGAGUCGGUCGAAGUUCAGGUAGUUGAUUCCCUUGGUGGUUUAAACCCCAAUAGACAUACUACUAUUUUGUUUAAAGAGAAAGAUUCAACUGAUGGUGCUCAAUUGAGGGGUCACUAUUUCAGCUUCGGGUGUUAAUAAAAUUCAGAGUUCGGGGAAAAUAUUAGGGAGUAAAGAUGGGGGCUUUCGGGCUACAAGGAAAAUAAAAAAAAUUACACAUGGGAAAGGGAAUAAUUUUAAAAUUGGAAAUUCUUCUAAAAUUUCUUUGAGUGAUUCUAUGUCUAGGUUGGCUCAGUCUGUUUCCGCAUUACGAAGUGCUGAUUCGAGUUCAAUUGACCCAGGUGCUGGUAAAAGAAUUCAGGAAUGAUUAUUAAAGCUAUGGACAGUAAGGUUUCUUGGGUUUUUUUUUAAUUCUUUUCUUGUUUAUUUUUUAUCAUGGAUUUAAAUUUAUCAAUUUUUUUUUGGAAUUGUCAAGGCUGUGCAAGUAGUAAAUUUCUCUGCAUUUUUCGUGAGUAUAAUUUUAAGCAUAAACCAGAUAUAGCGUGUCUGCUGAAACCAAGAGUUAGUGGUAAAAAAGCUAAUUCUAUUAUUGAUAAAUUGGGUUUGACCAGGGAUUUAAAUUGCGGUCGCGGUCGCGUUUUCGGUCGCAUUGCAUUUAUCGCGGUUGCGGACAUAACGGAUGCUAUUGCGGUCAUUGCAGGUAUCGCGGUCGUGAAUUUUACAUUACUUAUUGUGUAUUGCGGGUAUAGCGGGUUUCGGCAGUAGCGGUUUCGGACGGUGCCGUUACCGCUAUAUAACGGCCGCUAUUUCGGUAACGGACCGCUAUUUAAAUCCUUGGGUUUGACUUUUCUCACUGCAUUUGAGUCUAUUGGUUUUACAGUGGCAUCUGGGUUGGUUAGAAGGAUAAUAUUUGCAUUAGCAUUACUCAUAAUCAUCCCCAGGUCAUGGUUCUUCGUGUUCAUGGUAGUACUCACACUAAUUCCUUUUUUUUAUCUUUUUUGUGUAUGGUAGUCUUGAGAGAAUUAAGCUGAAGUCUCUUUGGACUGAUUUAAUGGAGGUUUUACCUCACGAUCCUUUACUUUGGCUGAUUAUGGGUGACUUUAAUGCUAUCCUCUCACCUAAGGAUAAAAAAAAGUGAUCACUCUACUAGUAAUAGAUAUAAUUUGCAGGACUUUGGAUUCAUAGGACCCUCCUUUACCUGGCAAAGAGGUAAUACGCACGAGUGGAUAGAUCGAGCAUUAACUAAUGAUACUUGGAUUUCAUCCUUUCCGCAUAGUCUCAUUUAUCAUCUUCUGUGCAUUAAAUCAGAUCAUAGGCCCAUCCUUCUAAAACUUAAUCCUGAAUUCAGUAUUCCCAAAGGGAGACCUUUUCGGUUUCUUGUAGUAUGGACAAAGCAUACGAAUUUUAAAGAUUUGGUCUCUAGUAAGUGGAGGUUUUCAGGUAACAUGGCAGAUUCUUUAUACAAUUUUACCUCACAUGUCAAAGAAUGGAGCAGGUCCGUAUAUGGCUUAUAGGCACGCACAAAAGACACCUUAUGAGAUCGCUUGCAAGCAUUCAAAAGGCCAUGGAUCAGUCGACCUCCAAUAGGUUAGUUAACUUGGAGAUGGAGGUUCGAGAUGAAUUGGAAAGUGUGCUUAACCAUGAGGAACUUUUUGGAGGGAAAAAGCUAGGUGUGAGUGGCUCUAGUUUGGGGAUCGCAAUACCAAUUUCUUUCAUAGUUGUACAGUGCAAAGGAGGAAAUUUAAUCGUAGUAUGGCCUUACACAUUAAUAGCAGGGACUGGGGUUCUGAUCAGAAUAUUCUUAGUAAUGAGGCCAUCAGGUUCUUUGAGAGAUUGUAUGGUGAAAUCCCAACCCCCAUGAGUGAACUUCCUCUAAUAUCUUUCCCCACCUUAAGGAGCAUGAUAUCAAUUUCUUUAAAAAGUUAGUUUCAAAUGAAGAGAUAAAUAAGGCCCUUUUUGACAUGGCUUCGUUGAAAGCUUUGGGAAGUGGUGGGUUCCAUGCGUAUUUUUUCCAAAGUCAGUGGGACUUAGUUGGAGGGGCAGUUUGUGAAUGGGUUCAGGGAAUCUUUGCUGGUAAUAGAAUUGAGGAAGCUCUUACCAACAUUCUAAUUGUGCUUAUUCUGAAGAAAGAUCGAUCGGAGGAUUUCAAUCAAUUUUGGCCAAUUAGUCUUUGUUCGUUGUUGUAUAAGUUGGUGAUAAAGGUGAUCGUUAAUAGACUUAAAGUGGUGUUUUCGAAUUAUAUAUCACCUGAGCAAGUGGGGUUUAUUUCUGGUCGUAACAUUUCUGAUAAUGUCAUUAUUGCACAAGAAUUCAUUCAUCCAAACGGUAGUAAGAGAGUUGGUAGAAAUUGGAUGGCCAUCAAGUUGGAUCUAGAGAAAGCCUAUGAUAGGAUUAGUUGGGAUUUUAUUGAUGCGUCUCUUGUAGCAGCUGGGAUUCUCGAGUUCCUCAGAAAGGUGCUUAUGGUUGCAAUUUCUUCUUCUUCUAUGCAGAUCUUAUGGAAUGGAGUUCCGUCUUAGUCCUUUAAGCCUGUGAGAGGGAUUAGACAGAGGUGUCCUUUAUCGCCUUAUCUUUUCAUUCUUUGCAUGGAAUGGUUGGGUCAUAUUAUUUGCUUAAAAAUCACAGCUGGUAGGUGGCAUCCGAUUCGGUUAUCUAGGUUGGGGCCAGCCUUAUCUCAUUUUUUUUUGCUGAUGACCUUGUCAUUUUCGGCAAAGCGAAGCUGGAACAAGUUUUUUUGUUAAAGCAAAUCCUUAAGCACUUCUGUGACUUUUCUGGGCAUAAAAUCAGCGCGAGAAAGAGUAACAUGUAUUUCUCCAAAGGUGUUGAUAAUAGUUUGUGUGACCAGCUUAGCCAGUUUUUUGGGUUCCUGAAAGUUCUUAAUCUAGGAAGUUAUUUGGGGUGCCUUUCUUUCAUGAAUGUGUUACUAAAAGUACUUUAAAUUUUGUGGUUGAUAAAGUGAGGCAUAAAUUUCAAAAUUGGGAAGCUAGAAAACUCUCAUUUACGGGACGUGUCACUCUCACCCAAUCAGUUCUCCUAGCUAUUCCAAACUAUUUCAUGUAGUCUUUGUUAAUCCCAAAAGUUGUGUGUGAUGAGAUAGAGAGGAUUGCAAGGCAGUUCAUUUGGGGUAGUUCUGCUGGAUAUCCAAAAAUAGCCCUGGUAGAAUGGGAGUCCAUUUGUCAGCCUAGGUCUCGUGGGGGCCUUGGGUUUCGGCACCUUCAAGACCAAAAUAAUUCAUUCCUUAUGAAAAUUGGGUUCAACCUAGUCUCUAGAAAGGACGCUUUAUGGGUUCAUGUCCUUCGCUUGAAAUAUGGCUGGAAGAAUUAGCUUCUAGAUUCUAUUCACAAAAAUCAAUGCUCUCAUCUUUGGCGUUCCCUCUAAAGGUGUGGCCCCCUUUUUUGUGGGAAUCACAUGUAGUCUGUAGGUGAUGGCUAUACAAUUCGUGGUUAGAAAUAUUCUUGGGUACCACAUGUUGGCCUUCUUUUUUCUUAUGUUUCAGCUCAUGCAAGCCUUGAUUUGGAGAGUACUUUGAGGGAUUAGGUUCUUCUUGAUGGUUCUUGGAAUGUUGAUUUGCUUCGUAUUUGGCUAUCUGAUGACAUGAUAAAGCGUAUAGUAAGUAUUUCCCGUCCUCAUUCUACUAGUGGUGAGGAUAGGAUCAUUAGAGCUCAAUCUAGUUCAAGGUCUUUUUAUAUUCGUAGUGCUUACUGGGCUUUAAAAAAAGAUUCUUGGGGUCUUAAAGAUGAUAUUUGGAAGCCUAUUUGGAAAUAUCAAGGCCCACAGAGAGUCCAUCUUUUUCUUUGGCUUGUGGCCAAGCAGUAGAGGCUUCUUACUAAUUCAGAACGCGCUAGGAGAGGAAUUGGGCAAAAUAGUGUGCCCCUUCUAUGUGGUCAGGAUACUGAGGACAUUAUGCAUGUUCUCUGAGAUUGUUCAACAGUUAAGGAAGCUUGGAUGCUUGUAGUCCCUCCGAGAAGCAACCUAGGUUUUUUCUCAUUCCUUUCAAAUUUGGUUUUCCACUAAUCUUUGUUGUCAUUUUAAGAUGGAGGAUAAGGGAAUUACUUGGUCAUGCUUAUUUGGGUUAAUUGCUUGGAGAAUUUGGAAGAACAUGAAUAUUUUCAUCUUCUAAAACAUCAAUUGGAUAGCUUAUGAUGUUAUGAAAAACUUUCUGUGUUGGGUUAACAAUUUGAAAUUUUGGAUCAAGCCUAAUUCACCCAAUUUGGAAAUUCACUAUCAUUGUGAAGAUAAUUGGGUCUAUUUAUUUUCUAAUGGAGUAAUGGCUAGAGCUUCUUGAAAUACUUCUGCAGGUGGCGUGGUUCGUGAUCUGGUUGGCAAUUGGAUUUUGCGUUUGAAUCAUUAUUUGGGCAGAUUUUCGCUUUUGGAUGCAGAACUUUGGGGUAUUCUUGAUAGAAUUCUCAUUUUAUUAUGUAAGAGCUACAAGAAAGUCAGGAUUCUUAAGGAAUUAGUGGACUCCAAUAUUACCUUGCUCAGAAGAGUUAAACGGUUUUUGCGUUCUGAAGGUUAGUGGGAAAUUAAGUAUGGUCCUAAGGAGUGUAACUUAAUUGUAGAUCAAUUGGCAAAGAUUAGUCUCUCUUGGCAGACUUCCCUUCAGAUCUUUUAAGUACCUCAUAAUUUGGUGAUUAUGGCUAUCCAACAACACAAAGCUUUUAGAGUCUCCUAGUAGUUUUUAAGUUGUAAUUUUGUUUAUCAUUUUUCACCAAAAAAAUAAAACUAGGGAAUAUGAGAUGGAUUUUAAGCCAUUGGAUUACCAUUAAUUUAGUAGGACUUGAGUCUAACCAUUUAUCAAAAUAAGUUGGAACUUAUGAGACUUGACAAUGGAAAAGUGGAGAAGGUUUCUAAAUUUUUUCUUCUUCACAUAAUUAGCUAAGUGUAGAGAAAUGGAGAACCCUUGCAAAUCGUAAGCUAUUCUGCCCAAAAUUUAUGAGUUUUUAUUAAACAUCAUGGUCAAAUCUUGUCACCAAACUCUCUUAGAAUCUAAUACCUAUAAGUUAGAUGUUUGAAUUGAAGCAAUUUGUAAAUUAGAAGUUAAGUUCUUCAGGUGGAAGUGUUAAGAGAGUGAAGUAAGAAAGUUGUCACACCCCAAAAUUGGGCCUAGAAGUUUCGAGGGUAAAAUGGGGAUUUUAACUCUAGUGUGCUUGGGAAUUUCAUAGCAUAAGGAACCAUAAAUGUUUUCAUCUAUAGCUUUUAGAAGAUUAAAUCAAUUUUUGAAAAUAUUAUUGAAACGAAUUUCAAUUUUAAAAUAAGGACUGAUUUGUAAAAUGAUCUAAAUUUUGAGUAUUUAUAAGGCAAUUAAACCAAAUUUUAAAAAUCAACCUAAUAUUUCCCCCACCUACAUGUUUACGUUAGUUUCUUCAGGCUUUGUUUUUGUGGCCAUCCCUUGUUUUUCAAAAGAUCUUCCUACACAAUUUUGAUUCUUAAACUUUAAUAUAUUAAUUUCUAUCAUCACUCAAGCCAUAAAUCUCUAUAGAACUUCAAGAAAAAUACCCAAAACACCAUUAAUUUGCCAUCUCUCAAGCUUGUGGGUUUUUGGGGUUUUUAACCAAAAGCUUGUUUUUCUUCCAUCGAAGGUAACGAUUCAAUUCCUUACUAGUUUUUAAUGUUAUCUAGUCUUUUAAAUAGAUUUUUUAGCCAUUCAAUCGCAUGUUUCAAAUAAAAGCGAAAAUUUGGGUUAUUAAUGGUGGAUUUCGAGAUUUUGAAUAAAGACGUGGUUUCAAAGUGCUUUUCAAUUAUUUUUGAUGUGAUUAGAAGGUUUCAAAAAUUACUUUGAAGUUUCGUUAAGGAUUUCUAAGGAUUUAAUGAAUUUUCGUGAAAAUUGCCAUAACAUGUCAAAAAAUUUUGAUACCAUGGAUUGGGUAGUUUUGUAUAGUUUAAAGGUUGAGAAUCUGUUAUAGGUGAAUAAUUAUAUGAAUGGAAUUCAUUUUAGGCAAAAAAAAUAGUAUAAACUGAGAUAUUUGAAUUUCAAGUUUGCUAUGCCGAAGGUUUCGAUUACAAGAGAAUUUAGUUUAGGUUUGUGUUUUGAUUGUUUCAAGUGAGUCUUUGUUUGAUUGUUGAUUGUGUUGUUGUGUGAUUUACCUUUUUGAAGCUUCAGAAUUGUUAGAACCUUCAACGAGUAAAGAUAAAGGUAAGGAAAAACUAGUUUAAACUUUCGGCGAUUAGGCAAAAACGCGAACGGUGAGUGUUUGGAAUCGUUACUUAUAGACAUUAUUCAUAAUGUUAAUUGGGAGCUUAGGAAUAACCUAAACCCCUAUCCUAAGUUCCGAGUGUAAGCUUUAUAUUUACCUUGCUUUAUUUUGGCAAAUUAUAUUAUUAUGUGAAUAAUUAUGGAUUAAUUAUUAUUGAUGCGAUAUUGUGAUAUGAGACAUGUGUGAUGACUAUUGUGAAUUGUGUUGUGUUGUAGGCGUGAUAUACAUGUCAAAUGACAAUGAUAAUGAUAUGAUAAUAAUGCAAAUAUAUAGCGAAAGCGAGCGAAAUUUCGAUAAGUAUUUAUGUGCUGAAUUGUGGAAUGUGAUAUUAUUAUGACAGGUAAUAUGUGAGAAUAGUUGUAUGUGAUUAUGUGAUGGCUCAAUGAUCAUUAUUGUGGCACUUAAAGUGCAAUUAAAUGUGAAUUCGAUAAGCAUGCAUUGUGUACAAGUUUUUUUUUAUGUAAAUUGAUGAAUAUGAACAGAGAUGAUGUGCAUUAAAUCAAUAAUUAAAAAUGUGUAAUUGUGGAUAUUUUGGCCUUGUGAUCUUUUGAAAUCGUUGGAUAUAUUUGGCAUACCAUAGAAUUAUGAGUACUCACCCUUGUGUUUUGUGAUUUAGACAUUGAGGCCCCGAGAUAGUUUGGAGAGAUAAAGGAAUGUUAGUUAAGCUCCAUUCACCGGGAUAUAUUGGUGAAUUGGAGAGUGUUAGCUAUGUGCUACACUUUUGGGAUAUGUUUGACUCAAUGAGUCAUUUGGUGUGUUGGAGAUCCGUGUAUCCAAUGUGUGGUGAUAGAGCCCACUUUUAUGUUUCAUAGCCUUAAGUGCCAAAUUAUUGUUUAAAUGUGAUCUUAUUUAUUAUGAUAAUACGAUGUGAGAUGGAUGCAUAAACAAGUAAAUAAUAUGCUAAAUGAGUCUAUUUAAGUUUCAUGAAAAUGUUAGUAUGUUCUCAUAAUAAAUUGCAUAUGUAAUUGUGGUUUGGAUCAUUUUCAUUUAACUUUUGAAUACAUGUGCAUAUAUAAGCUAGACUUGUGAGUUACUAAAGCACGUAUAUGAUUUUUAGUCUUGAUGAAUUAUUGUAAAAUGAAAUAUUUGUAUAUAAGUUUAGUGUAGUUGUACGUGAGAGUAUAUGCUAGCUUUAUGAUUUAAUGAAGCGUAAAUAUGUUAUUGUGACUUGGUUAGAAUAUAGUUGUGAACGUGUUGUAGUAUGCUCUUGUUUAACCUUUGAUCUUGUGUAUACUUUGUGGUUACUUUGACAUUCACUGAGCUUGUUUAAGCCCAUUCUCUCUAACCAUUGUGAUAUUUCGUGUUUGCGGUGUGAGCAGUGCGGGGAUACCAAGGAAGUGAUCCAAAUUAGGCUUUAGUAUAUGCAUAGGUGGUAUUAAUACUAUUUUUUGAACUGUGGGGAUAAGGCAAUGUGGUUAGACUUUGAUCGAUUAUUACUGUGGUCCUCAUGAAAUUUUAUGGGUUUAGUUUUCUAGCACUUUUGAUAGAUGUUAUAAUUAUAGACUUUGAUCGAUUAUUACUGUGGUCCUCAUGAAAUUUUAUGGGUUUAGUUUUCUAGCACUUUUGAUAGAUGUUACAAUUAUUUCAUUGGUAUUAUUUUGGUUUAAAUAUUUGUUAUGUUGAAGUGCCAUGAAUUGUAUGUAUAGUUAGUGGAUGUUGAAUAAUGUGGUAAAACUGUUGCAUGAACUUUGUCAUAAUGUUUUGAUAUAUAACUUUCAUAGCUUAUUUGUUCUUAGGAUUUAUGGAUAUUGUUAUUGUUAUAUCAUUUGCUUACUCAGACAUGUUUUCGAUGAUUGAACUGUUAUUGUGGUCAUUUUGGUAAUUACUUGAUAAGGUAAAAGUUGCAUGUUGAGUAGUUAUUAUCUUGAAUGGAUUAUAUGCCUUAAAUUGUUGAAUUUUUGUGGCCUAAAGCAGAGGUAUUGAUAUUCGUGUUUUAAAAAUGAUACCUUCAUGAUUUUUUAAAGUGCAUAAAGUCAGUAACGUAAUUUGGUAUCGAUACCAUAUCACGAGUAUCGAUACUCGAGGUAAAAUAAUCGAUACUUUAUAAAAUGUACCAAUAAUUUCUAAUAUUUUGAUUUUAAAUGAGAAACAGAAUGCUAUUUUGGUAUCGAUUUUCAAAACAAUAUCGAUAGCUUUUGAGAGAAAUAUUGAUACAUUUUAUUCAGUAUCGAUACCUAUGUGAAUAAUUUAGAAUUUCUAUUUAGUGGUCUAUAAUCAUGUUUAACUUUCAUUUUAAGUUCGCUUAAAAAAUGUUUAGCAUGUUUUAAUGACAAUUGGAAUACGUAUGACUUAUAAUUAUUACGAAAGCUAAAAUGGAAGAUGUUUGCUUAAUAAUGGGACCAUGCUAAUGUAUGUGAUGUGUGACAGUGGUGCGACAUCCUAAUAUUCAGGCUCAGUGACCGAGCUGGGUAUAGGGUGUUACAAAAGUUAUUUGGUUAAGUUACAUUCAUGCAUAACUUAUAUAGUUGUUGUUAUAAUUCAAGUUAUCUACUCUGGUAUGAUUGUUGAUUAUUUUUGUACAUGUGUUUUGUGAAGAGAAAAUUGUAGAGAAAAGUGAAAAAAGCAAGGGAAAUGAUAAAGUCCGUAAGUGAAUGGGUGAUUGAAGGUUUACCCUCUCUUGCAAAGCUUGGAGAUUUGGAAAGUGCUCCAUAAAUUCCCCUUUACCUUUUACUUGAUUAAACGACCAAGUCAUAUGGUUAACAAGCACGAUAAAUGGCAUGAAAACUAAAAAAUUGAAUAGACACUUAGUUAAGGUGAGUUAAUUAAAAUUGGCUAGCUUAACAAGUUUAUAAUGUGAUAUGUGAUAAGUAUUAUGACAUUAUAUUAUGUAUGGAGAUAUAAUAGAUAUCAUUGGUUCAAUCGUAAAAUGCCUAAGUGGUUAAGGAUUUAAAAGAGGCAAGUUAUUGGAAAGUGAAGCUAUGAAAGAACAUGACUUGUAAUGAAAAUAUGAAAAAUAUGAAUUCUGCGAGGUUAAUAGGAAGAAUGAACAAAUGAGCCAUUAGCAAAAUAUGUGUUAAACAUGAUGCCUUCAAGUGUUUGAUUGUAUAUGAAGAAUAUGAGCUUAAUUAAGUGAAUUAAUGUGUGAUCAAUGGAUUAAAACACUUGAAUAUUGCGACCCCCUUAUGCAUUUGAUGCAUUAUAAGUGAGCAUUCUAUGCAAAAAUAAAAAUAAUGUGAUUAUGUUCUUAACGUGAGAAACCUUGAGAUAUUGUAAAAUGACCUAAUAAAAUUGGUAGGAAUUAGUUUUAUAUAUAGUUACCAUGCCAAUAAGGUUAGUAGUACUGCAUAUGAUCAUUGAUUGUUAAAAACUCCUUAUCUUUGUACUAGAUGGGUGUGUUUAGAAAUCUCACCACCAAAUGAUUAUGAUUGGCAAUUCCCAAGAUAUCUUUGUAUUGGAUGGUUGUGAGUGAAAUUCCCAGCAACCUCAGUAUUGGAUAGGUAUGUAUUCCCAUAUAUUCGACUCCAAAAUUCUUUUGUAUUUUACUAAUGCUACGAUUUGAAUUGUAAAAAUGAUUGAUUUUGAUACUGAAAUAUGUUAUUACCAUUAGAAUGAUAUGUAUAGAUAAAGGAUUUGGAUAAUAAGCUAAGGAAUAAACACUUGUAUAAGUUGUAAAAAAUUGGUAUGUGAGUAAAUAGUGAUAAAUGAGAUUGUUAAUGGAUAACAAGAGUAUAAGUGAAUUGAUUAGUGACUAUGCUAAGUAUGGUAAAAAAACAUGAAAUUGGUAAGGCUUAAGUAAGUGCUAGAUAAACUUGGAACUCAUAAUAUAAAAGGUAUAACUAAGGCAAGAUCUAAUGAUAUAAUUGAGUAUAGGAACAAGAUCAAAUACUCCUAGGAAGCUGAGUAAUAACAAUUUCAAUAAGAUAAGAAUUGGUGAUGGUUUUAAAUAGGUAUACAAAGUUGGCUAAUUCACUAAUUGUAUUUUAUAACCCCAAUAUUUGAUAAUAAAGAAAAAAAGGGCUAAAAUGGAUUUUAUUUGGUACACCACUAAGCAUGUUAUAACACUUAACGUGUGAAUUUUUUUUCCUUUUGUAAGUUGUGGAUCGACUCAUGAAGAUUGUUGUUGAACCUGGCAUCAUCGAAGUCAUACUAAAGCUAAUAUAUAUGCUACACUUCGAACCAUUUUGGUUAUGUACACACACUAGCUUAUUUAGCAUGUACUAUGUAUAUUAUCUUUUGGACAUCAUACAAGUAGUAUAAGUUGGUAUGUAUAUGUUAUAUCAUAGUUAAGUGACUUGGUAUGUGAUCUGUCAUCAUUUGAUAAAUCAAAUCAGGCUCUCCAUUACAUUUAAAGAGCUUAUUCUCAAGUAAAUUAUGUGUCUUUUCUUUUCUUUUUUUUGAUUUUUACUUUUAUUGUUAAUAAAUUACUUUUGUUAGAUUUAUACCAUUUUUUAGACCCAGAUUGGCUAAUCGUACCAUAGGGGACCUAAGAGUGAGAUUAAGUGGUGUAGGGAGCUGAUAAUAGCCCAAACAUGAAAAAAAUAUCACUUAAAAGGGGGUAUCGCUAUAUCAAAUCAUGAAAGUCUUGAUACCCCUAAUAGUGCUAAAGUGAAGGAAAUUGAGGCCAACUAUAGAGAUAUCACGAUACCGAGUAGUGGGUAUCACGAUACCGAGAUCCGCAAGACUCUCAAUCUUAAGACUAUUAUGGGUAUCUUGAUACCUAAGCCUGGGUAUUGCGAUACCACUACCUAACGAGAGAAAAAAAUUGUUGGGGCAAUUUUAUGUCCAACAAGUUUAAGUCUGUUUUUCAUUUAAUGGCAUAAUGGUCAAUGCUAGGUUAAAUGUUUGUACGCUAUAAAUACAAAUUUAUAAGCGUUUGUUUUUAGAGAUUUU
rnacentral:lncRNA from 1 species